rnacentral:rRNA from 1 species
CCCUUAGAUGUCCUGGGCCGCACGCGCGUUACACUGAUGCAUUCAACGAGCUUAUAACCUUGGCCGAGAGGCCUGGGCAAUCUUGUUAACGUGCAUCGUGAUAGGGAUAGAUUAUUGAAAUUAUUAAUCUUGAACGAGGAAUUCCUAGUAAACGCAGAUCAUCAAUCUGCAUUGAUUACGUCCCUGCCCUUUGUACACACCGCCCGUCGCACCUACCGAUUGGAUGGUCCGGUGAAAUCUCGGGACGGCGGCUUGGUCGCUUGCGUCCGACUGCUGAAACUUGAUUAAACCAUAUCAUUUAGAGGAAGGUGAANUCGUANCA